rnacentral:rRNA from 1 species
CCUACGGGAGGCAGCAGUGGGGAAUAUUGCACAAUGGGGGAAACCCUGAUGCAGCGACGCCGCGUGAGUGAAGAAGUAUCUCGGGACGUAAAGCUCUAUCAGCAGGGAAGAAAAUGACGGUACCUGACGAAGAAGCCCCGGCUAACUACGUGCCAGCAGCCGCGGUAAUACGUAGGGGGCAAGCGUUAUCCGGAUUUACUGGGUGAAAAGGGAGCGGAGACGGCAGCACAAGUCUGGAGUGAAAUCCCGGGGCUUAACCCCGGAACUGCUUUGGAAACUGUGCGGCUGGAGUGCAGGAGGGUUAAUCGGACUUCCUAGUGUAGCGGUGAAAUGCUUCGAUAUUCGGAGGACCACCGGUUGCGAAGGCGGCUUACUGUACUGUACCUGACGUUGAGGCUCGACCGCGUGGGGAGCAAACAGGAUUAGAUACCCGGGUAGUC